GUAGGUGAAAAAUGAGAGAUGUUUAGGAGGAUUUGGAGAAGACUAGGACAACCAUGUGGGCACAUCAUUCCUCACACACUCCUUGAUGGAGAUGUAAUAUGCGAGUGUCAAGACAAAACACGAUAUACCAAAAAGUUUUGCCCCGAUUUAGUGUUUGGGAAAAUGAGCAUAGGGGUAUGGAUCCAUGAAAAUUAGGGUCAACAAAUCAAAUGAAACUUGCAAAUCUGCCUAAGUCUUAGGAUCAUGGGUUGAUGAAAAAUUUGUAUGAGACUCACAAAGCUGCCCUAGUUGUUUUUUGGCAAAGGGUUCCGUUUGGAAGAGGUAGUGGGCAUGAAAAUGAUAGGCUAAAAGAACGACCCCGAUUGGUUUGAUUUUCUUUUACAUGCUUAUGGCUAGUUGGCAAGGAGAUCCCUUCUUCCUGAGACAUUAUCUUCUUCGUUUCUUUUUUUCAGCCUUCUUUUUUUACGACACAUUGAAAGUCAUUUCACCUUGUCACAAAAUUAAGCUUUAUAAAAAAUUGAGCAAACAUUAUCCAAUCUGUAUGGGCUUUAUUAGGCUUGUAACGUGGCUAGGGG
rnacentral:lncRNA from 1 species